AUACCGGUUUAUCCUGCCGGCGGUCACUGCUAUUUGGGUCCGAACAGCCAUGCAAGUCGUGAGGGGUAAGCCCUCGGCGAACGGCUCAGUAACACGUAGAUAACCUAAACCAUAGUGGGGGAUAACCUCGGGAAACUGAGGAUAAUACCCCAUAGCCAAAAUGUGCUGGAACUCGCCAUUUUGGCAAAAGCGCAAGCGCUAUGGUCUGGGUCUGCGGCCGAUCAGGUUGUUGGUGGUGUAAUGGACCACCAAGCCUUAGACCGGUACGGGCCAUGAAAGUGGUGGCCCGGAGAGGGGCACUGAGACAAGGGCCCCAGCCCUACGGGGUGCAGCAGGCGCGAACACUCCACAAUUCCUUAACAGGAGAUGGGGGGACCCAAAGUGUCCAUGCUCUGCAUGGACUUUUGCCAAAGCUAAAACCUUUGGCGAAUAAGUGGAGGGCAAGACGGGUGCCAGCAGCCGCGGUAAUACCCGCUCCACGAGUGGUGACCACGAUUAUUGGGCCUAAAGCGUCCGUAGCCGGCUAUGCAAGUUCCUGGUGAAAUCGUUCGUCUCAAGCGAACGGCGUGCUGGGAAUACUGCAUAGCUAGGGACCGGGAGGGGGUAGGGGUAUUCCUAGGGUAGGGGUAAAAUCUUAUAAUCCUAGGAAGACCACCUGUGGCGAAAGCGCCUACCCAGAACGGGUCCGACGGUGAGGAACGAAAGCUGGGGGAGCGAACCGGAUUAGAUACCCGGGUAGUCCCAGCCGUAAACGCUGCCCACUAGGUGUUACAUUCUCUUCGGGAGAAUGUAGUGCCGAAGCGAAGGCAUUAAGUGGGCCGCCUGGGGAGUACGGUCGCAAGGCUGAAACUUAAAGGAAUUGGCGGGGGAGCACAACAAGGGGUGAAGCCUACGGUUUAAUUGGAUUCAACGCCGGGAAUCUCACCAGGGGCGACAGCAAUAUGAAGGCCAGUCUAAAGGGCUUGCCUAAUGCGCUGAGAGGAGGUGCAUGGCCGCCGUCAGCUCGUGCCGUGAGGUGUCCUGUUAACAGGCACUCCAGCACGAAUGACAAGCCUCCAAAGUGCCUGGCAGUCAGUCAGGCAACGAGCGAGACCCUCGUCAUCAGUUGCGACCAAGAUAGUUUUAUCUUGGGCACACUGAUGAGACUGCUCCUGUUAAAGGAGAGGAAGGUGAGGGCGACGAUAGGUCAGUAUGCCCCGAAUCCCCUGGGCUACACGCGGGCUGCAAUGCAUUGGACAAUGGGUUGCAACCCCGAAAGGGGAAGCCAAUCCCAGAAACCAAUGCCUAGUUCGGAUCGAGGGUUGAAACUCACCCUCGUGAAGCCGGAAUCCCUAGUAACCGCAGUUCAUCACACUGCGGUGAAUACGUCCCUGCUCCUUGCACACACCGCCCGUCACGCCAUCCGAGUCAGGUUUUGGUGAGGGACUCUCUCUUGGGAGUUUCGAACCAGAACUUGGCGAGGGGGGUGAAGUCGUCACAAGGUAGCCGUACGGGAACGUGCGGCUGGAUCACCUCCU
rnacentral:rRNA from 1 species